GCAGUUGUGGCCUAGUGAACAUGGUGAUUGACUGGAGAUCAAAAGCUCACCGUUUCGAUCCCCAGCUCCA